GGGAAUGUGGCUUAGUGGUAGAGCGCUUGCCUAGCAUGCACGAAGCCCUGGGUUCAAUUCCUCAGUACCA
rnacentral:tRNA from 1 species